rnacentral:rRNA from 1 species
AUUGAACGCUGGCGGAAUGCUUUACACAUGCAAGUCGAACGGCAGCACGGGUGCUUGCACCUGGUGGCGAGUGGCGAACGGGUGCGUAAUACAUCGGAACGUACCCAGUCGUGGGGGAUAACGUAGCGAAAGUUACGCUCAUACCGCAUACGUACUGAGUGAGAAAGCGGGGGACCGUCAGGCCACGCGGGAAUGGGGCGGCCGAUGGGGGGUUAGCUAGUGGGUGGGGUAAAGGCCUACCAAGGCAGCGAUCCGUAGCGGGUCUGAGAGGACGGCCCGCCACACUGGAACUGAGACGCGGUCCAGACUCCUACGGGAGGCAGCAGUGGGGAAUUUUGGACAAUGGGCGAAAGCCUGAUCCAGCCAUUCCGCGUGAGUGAAGAAGGCCUUCGGGUUGUAAAGCUCUUUCGGCAGGGAAGAAACGGCUUGGGAUAAUACCCCGGGCUAAUGACGGUACCUGAAGAAGAAGCACCGGCUAACUACGUGCCAGCCGCCGCAGUAA